ACAUUGGUAGUAUAAUUGAGUAAAUAUAUCGUCUUUCCAAGUCGAUGAUCCCUUAGGGGUCAAUGUA
rnacentral:tRNA from 1 species